rnacentral:rRNA from 1 species
AACGAACGCUGGCGGCAUGCCUAACACAUGCAAGUCGAACGAGACCUUCGGGUCUAGUGGCGCACGGGUGCGUAACGCGUGGGAACCUGCCCUUAGGUUCGGAAUAACUCCCCGAAAGGGGUGCUAAUACCGGAUAAUGUCUUCGGACCAAAGAUUUAUCGCCUUUGGAUGGGCCCGCGUUGGAUUAGCUAGUUGGUAGGGUAAAAGACUACCAAGGCGACGAUCCAUAGCUGGUCUGAGAGGAUGAUCAGCCACACUGGGACUGAGACACGGCCCAGACUCCUACGGGAGGCAGCAGUGGGGAAUGUUGGACAAUGGGCGAAAGCCUGAUCCAGCAAUGCCGCGUGAGUGAUGAAGGCCUUAGGGUUGUAAAGCUCUUUUACCCGGGAUGAUAAUGACAGUACCGGGAGAAUAAGCUCCGGCUAACUCCGUG